AGCUGCUCACCCACGGUUCCUCCUGGGUCUCCAGUCUUCUCCCUCAAGGGCACUCGCCCUGCUGCCUGAGAGCCUUCAAACUGAAGUCUCUGGAAGAUUAAUCCCACAGCACAAACCUUAUAGAGUAGUUCAGUCAACACAGAAACUGGACAGAGGAGGAAAGGACCACAAGACUAGAUGUUGAAUCAGGACAGUGUGGAUAUUUAUC
rnacentral:lncRNA from 1 species